rnacentral:rRNA from 1 species
AUGUUCGCGACAUCAAGGAGCCAUCGGCAGCUCUUGGCUUUGAUGUGUCACGCAACCAGUAUGUUGUGGCCAGGUACUUCUACAAGUACUUUGAACAUAAUACUUCUAGUGGAGUUCUCAGUUACGAGAUCGGGCAUGAAGUCUUCACACUCGGUGGGGACUCCUGGAUGCGUACCGAUGAACUACCAGAUGCAAUUGGCCACACACGACCAGUCUUCACACGGGGGCCUUCUACUGGGGGACUUAUGCACCCCAUGA